AUACGGAGGGUGCAAGCGUUAUUCGGAAUCACUGGGCGUAAAGGGUGCGUAGGCGGUUUGAUAAGUCUGAUGUGAAAUCCUAUGGCUCAACCAUAGAACUGCAUUGGAAACUGUCAGACUAGAAUACUGAAGGGGCAGAUGGAAUUGGUGGUGUAGGGGUAAAAUCCGUAGAUAUCACUAGGAAUACCGAAAGCGAAAGCGAUCUGCUGGGAAGUUAUUGACGCUGAGGCACGAAAGCGUGGGGAGCAAACGGGAUUAGAAACCCUAGUAGUCC
rnacentral:rRNA from 1 species